ACGACGAGAGGUUCCCUCACCAUUGGACGAAUCGUGUGCGUCAGCCAGGCAACCAAGAGAAGGAAGGAAUUUCAACUCCAGUCGCCAUCGGGGUUUCUGAUAGCGGGAUCGUCGCGACUCCGUUCUUUCUUAUCGCAUUUAUUUUUAUCAAUGGAGAGCACGCUUAAGCGUUUCUCACGUUUACGUACGCACGCCUUGCGAUUACGCUUAACGGCAUACGCGCGAUAUCGCGAGGAAAUAGAAGAACCCCCGAGUCUUAUUCUUCUUCGUCGUCGUCGUAUUCUCUUUUUCUUGUGGGAGGAGAAAAGGGAGAACAAAAAUAUUUACAAACAUACUUACGAACAAAUUUGAGCUACGUGAAAGGGAGAGAUUGAUAUGAGUUUAUUGUUCAAGGACAAUCGUGAAUUACGCCAUCAUAGCUUCUUCUCCUUCCUGUUCGAAAGGAUUACAAAGUUGAUUCAAGGAUACAGGAAAUAGCAUUUGACAUGCAUUUUACAAGAAAAAUCGAUUGACCAGUUACCGCGAUUAUUAAGAUCGUGUAUAUAAAUUUGUCUGUUUUCCUUUUUUUUUUUUUUUUUUCUUUUUUUUUCUUCUGAGAUAGAGUUCAUUUCUAUUUGGAAAGUAUGGCUUAUCGAUCGAUCGUAACUGUAUAAAGUAUCGAACUUUUCUUUCGCACAAACAACAAUAAAAUAUUCGAAGAUUAUAAACUGAUAAAAAAGAUCGUCCACGUGUGGACAAAUAGAUCAAGUCCGUGCCAUUUACAAAAAUCAUAAGUAAACAAAAGAAAAUUUCCUUUUCACGAUGAGAAGUAAUAUCUCACUUUGGACUAUUUGAUUUUCGUCUCGUCGAAAGAUCUUAAAUAAAGGAAGAAAAGGGAGAGAAAAAAGAAUAUCAGAAGAAGAAAAGAGAAAUAAGUGCGACUCCGAGUAUUAUUGGUGAAAAAAAGGUUAUAAAGGAAGAGAAAAGCAAGAAGCAAAGUCUUACGUAGUGCGCGGGAACCAUUUCAGUUUGGUGGGAAAACCAAAGAAAGAGAGAGAAAAAGAAUUUCUCGUGUCUAACGAGAGGCUCGAACGAAAGGG